CCAAAUUUUGCAAGACUCAUAUGUCAGCGAUGUUUCUCAAGACUUUGGUCUUCCUGUUCCUCCACCGAGCAGUUGCAGACUCUUGUGGUGGUAAUGAUGGGUUCACCUUCAAUGGAUUCCGUUGCCACAAUAUUGCUCCCGACGGGAUCGCGUCGAUCACCUCCGACGGGCUUCUCGUGGUCACCAACAAUACAAUCCAGUCGAUGGGCCACGCCUUCUACCGAACCCCACUUCGCUUCAGAGAUUCUCCUAAUGGUACCGUCUUCUCCUUCUCCACCACUUUUGUGUUUGCCUUCAUCUCAGAACUCUCGGACCUUGGCGGGGAUGGGAUGGCCUUCUUAGUUUCCCCCACCAAGGACUUCUCCCCAGCCUUAGGUAGUCAGUAUUUAGGCCUCUUCAAUUCAAGCAGCCGCGGUAACUCGACCAACCAUGUCCUUGCGAUCGAGCUUGACACAAUCGGUAACCCCGAAUUCCAAGAUAUUGAUAAUAACCAUGUCGGCAUCGAUAUCAACAACUUGAAAUCUGAUGAGUCCCACACUGCUGGUUAUUAUCUGAAUGACACUGAUUCGUUCCAAAAUCUAAGUCUCAGGAGCGGCCAAACCAUGCAAGUUUGGGUAGACUAUGAUAGCCAUGAGAUGCUACUUAACGUGACCUUAGCUUCAAUCCCAAUGGCCAAACCCCAUAGACCUCUCUUAUCUGCGGUCGUCAAUCUUUCAAGCGUGUUGUUGGAAACGAUGUAUGUUGGAUUCUCCUCCUCCACUGGUCCUUGGCUAACAUCUCACUACGUCCUUGGUUGGAGUUUUAAGAUGAAUGGCGUAGCCCAAGCUCUCGACUUCUCCCUGCUGCCUCCUCUUCCUCGUGCGAAAUCAAAUCACAAGUUAAAGGUUUUGCUCAUCGGGCUGCCCCUGGCGUCGGCUGGACUUGCUGUGAUCAUCGUGUCCAUAGUGAGAUGGAGGAUCAAGCAUGCAGAAGUGCUCGAGGAUUGGGAGCUUGAGUAUGGGCCUCAUCGGUUCUCCUACAGAGAUCUGUUCGUCGCUACGAAGGGUUUUAAAGAUAAGGAGCUGCUCGGAAUAGGCGGAUUCGGAAAGGUCUACAAGGGGGCCCUACAGACUUCUAAAUCAGAGAUUGCGGUGAAGAGAGUGUCUCAUGAAUCAAGUCAGGGCAUGAGGGAGUUCAUAGCAGAGAUCGUCAGCCUCGGCCGCCUCCGCCACCGCAACCUUGUUCAGUUGUUGGGCUAUUGCCGGCGCAAAGGGGAGCUGCUGUUGGUGUAUGAUUACAUGCCUAAUGGCAGCCUGGACAAGUUUCUGUAUGGCGAAGACAAGACUACUCUGGAUUGGGCGACGCGCUUCCGGAUCAUCAAAGGCGUGGCAUCAGGGCUUCUGUAUCUACAUGAGGACUGGGAGCAAGUCGUCAUCCACAGAGACAUCAAGGCGAGCAACGUGCUGCUCGACCAUGAACUGAACGGAAGGUUGGGUGACUUUGGCCUGGCAAGGUUAUAUGAUCAUGGAACCGAUCCACACACCACCCGCAUCGUCGGAACCAUGGGUUAUCUUGCUCCCGAGCUUGUUCGAACAGGCAAGGCGACCACCAUCACCGACGUGUUUGCGUUCGGGGUCUUCCUCUUGGAGGUUGCUUGCGGGAGGCGGCCGGUGGACUCGGUUGCGUCCGGGAAGGAGCUGAUUUUGUUGGAUUGGGUGGUGGAGAAUUGGCGGCAGGGAUCGAUACUUGCGACGAGGAUCCGAGGCUGGGAGAAGAGUACGUGGUGGAGGAGAUGGAGCUGGUUCUGAAGCUUGGCUUGCUGUGCUCGCAUCCGCUGCCGGCAGGCAGGCCGAGCAUGCGGCGAGUGGUGGAGUUCUUGGAGGGCGAAGCAGCACUUCCGGAACUGUCGCCGACGUACCUAAGCUUCAACGUUCUUGCGAUGCUUCACAAUGAAGGCUUCGAUGAUUACAUCAUGUCGUAUCCUUGCCUCCUCCUCCUCUUCUUCCACAAAAAGCUUGCAGCCUCCGGCAGCGAAAACCAUGAAUUCAUCUUCAAUGGAUUCGGUGGCGCUAAUCUUACGCUCGACGGGGUGGCAUCCAUCACCUCCAGUGGUCUGCUGAGGAUCACCAACGCGACAGCGCAGGUGAAGGGCCACGCCUUCCGUCCAUCCCCACUUCGUUUCAGAGAUCAAACUACUGGUAAAAUCUUCUCCUUCUCCACCACUUUCGUCUUCGGCUUCGUCCCAGAAUUCGCCAAUCUUAGCGGCCAUGGAGUCGUCUUCUCGAUUUCUCCCACCAAGGACUUCUCCGGAGCCUUAGGAAGUCAGUUCUUAGGCCUCUUCAACCAGAGCAACAAUGGGAACUCGGGCGAUCAUAUUCUUGGCAUCGAGCUUGACACAAUCUAUGACCCUGAAUUCCAAGAUAUUGAUGACAAUCAUGUCGGAAUCGAUAUUAACAGCCUGACAUCUAACAAUUCCCACACCGCUGGUUAUUAUGCUGAUGACUCUGGUUUGUUCAAAGCUUUAAGCCUUAGAAAUGGUGAAGCCCUGCAAGUUUGGAUAGAUUACGACGCCCAAGAGAUGAUGCUUAAUGUUACCUUAGCUACAAUUCAAAUGGCCAAACCCCAAAAACCUCUCUUAUCCGCGAUCAUCGAUCUAUCAAGCGUGCUAACAGAUCCCAUGUAUGUUGGCUUCUCCUCAUCCACUGGUUCUCUCCUGACGUCUCAUUACAUUCUGGGUUGGAGCUUUAAGAUGAAUGGAGUAGCUCAAGCUCUCGACUAUUCCCUACUACCCUCGCUCCCUCGUGUGAGACCCAAGCGAGGAUCAAAGGCGUUGACCAUUUCACUGCCUCUAUCAUCAGCUGGACUAGUUCUAAUCGUCGUAGGAGUCGUGGCUUUCAUCGUAAGAUGGAGGAUCAAGUACGCAGAGGUCCGCGAGGACUGGGAGCUUGAGUACGGCCCUCAUCGGUUCUCCUACAAAGACUUGUACAAAGCUACCAAGGGUUUCAAGGACAAAGAUUUGCUCGGAAUAGGCGGAUUCGGAAAGGUCUACAAGGGGGUGCUACAGACUUCUAAAUCGGAGAUUGCGGUGAAGAGAGUAUCUCAUGAAUCAAGACAGGGCAUGAGGGAGUUUGUCGCUGAGAUAGUUAGCAUCGGUCGCCUCCGCCACCGCAACCUUGUUCAGUUGUUGGGCUAUUGCCGACGCAAAGGGGAGCUCCUGUUGGUGUAUGAAUGCAUGCCCAAUGGCAGCCUGGACAAGUUUCUGUAUGGCCAAGACAAGCCAACUCUGGAUUGGGCGACGCGGUUCCGGAUCAUCAAAGGCGUGGCAUCAGGGCUUCUGUAUCUACACGAAGAUUGGGAGCAAGUCGUCAUCCACAGAGACAUCAAGGCGAGCAAUGUGCUGCUCGACCACGAAUUGAAUGGAAGGUUGGGUGACUUCGGCCUAGCAAGACUAUACGAUCAUGGGACUGUUCCCCUGACCACCCAUGUCGUGGGAACCAUGGGUUAUCUUGCUCCCGAGCUUGUUCGAACCGGCAAGGCGGCCACCAUCACCGACGUGUUUGCAUUCGGAAUCUUCCUCUUGGAGGUUGCUUGUGGAAGGCGGCCGGUGGACUCGAUCGCGUCCGGGGAGGAGCUGAUUUUGUUGGAUUGGGUGGUGGAGAAUUGGCGGCAGGGAUCGAUACUUGCGACGAGAGAUCCGAAGCUGGGAGAUGAGUACGUGGUGGAGGAGGUGGAGUUGGUUUUGAAGCUUGGAUUGCUGUGCUCGCAUCCGCUGCCGGCAGGCAGGCCGAGCAUGCGACAAGUGGUGGAGUACUUGGAGGGCGAAGCAGCACUUCCGGAACUGUCACCGACGUACCUCAGCUUCAGCGUUCUUGCGAUGCUUCACAAUGAAGGCUUCGAUGAUUACAUCAUGUCGUAUCCUUCGUCGGUGGCCAUUUCUGGAGCUUGGUAAUUGCAGAUGGGAAGCAUUACAUUAUGACAGUUGUUGUCUCCCAUCUCUUCUGUUCCUUUUGUUAGUCGAUACAAUUAUUGACUUCAGAUUAAUAUUAGCAUUAUAGGAGAGUGAUCUCUUAUUGAUGACA